rnacentral:SRP_RNA from 1 species
GACUCGGAAUUAUGCGACUGUAACGCCCAAAUCUUGUCAGGACCGGAAGGUAGCAGCAAUACGGGGAUGCUUAUAGUAGGCGUAGUCUCCGGGUCACC